CAAUCCCAGAUCUACUUGGCAGCUCUGUGCCCUUAGCCAAGGCAUCUAACCCUUGAGGACCACUAGCUGCCUCCAACAGUAGAGGAAGCCACUGCUUGAUCCUACAUCCCCGGAAAGAACACCAACCUAGAGUCAGAUCCAGCGACUAGGGGGCCUCCCCAGAGGCCAGCCAGUUCCCUUGGGGGAAGAAACUAGAUCACAUUUCCUUCCAAACAUCUUCCGUCUUACACCUGACACAGGCUUUCAAACUCAAAAGUCAAGGUUUUGUCAACUUUAUUCUCUGCAAGGCAAUGGGCCCUGAUUCCAGCUGCCUGAGCACGAGGAAGGCCCUUAGGGGAGAGCUGGAAGUGCCUGGGAGCUCUCCAUCCCCUACCCGACUCCAGCAGCCUGUGGCCAAUAACUGACUGAUGUGGAAGAGAAACAGCAGCUCCUUUGCCUGCAGGUUCUGAAAGAAUCUGACCUGAGACUGCAGAAGGAUCUGACCUGGUCAGCACCUCCCAAGAGUCAGGCCAGCAGUUACCGUUAUUGGACACGUGCUAAUGUGUUGGGCUGUGCUGCCUACAUUUACAGCCAGAUGUCAACAGGAUUAUUUUGGGUGCCAACUCGCAUCUGGAGAAACUGAGCAUUCAGGAGGUCAGGAGACGGGCCCAAGCCCUGUGGACGGCAAAGGCAGGUGCUGGCACUGUCUCAGAUCUGUUCCUCCAAAGGCACACUCGUGGUUGCACCUCUCUGCCUCCCCGGUCUAGGCUGGUUGGGAGGUGUUUCUACUUGUUUGUUU